rnacentral:rRNA from 1 species
UACGAAGGGGGCUAGCGUUGCUCGGAAUCACUGGGCGUAAAGCGCACGUAGGCGGAUCGUUAAGUCAGGGGUGAAAUCCUGGAGCUCAACUCCAGAACUGCCUUUGAUACUGGCGACCUUGAGUUCGGGAGAGGUGAGUGGAACUGCGAGUGUAGAGGUGAAAUUCGUAGAUAUUCGCAAGAACACCAGUGGCGAAGGCGGCUCACUGGCCCGAUACUGACGCUGG